rnacentral:lncRNA from 8 species
AUAUUACAGUUUUUAAUGUCCCAUUGGUAGGAUAGUCUUGAUCAUAAAUCAUCCAGUUUUUUUUCUCCAAUGAUUGCACGUUGGCCAAUAGAACUGAUGGUAGUGGCGGUUUACCCACUCACCUACGAAUUCACACAAGGCAGUUCUUGAUCACCUGACAGAACUGUUGCUAAUCGUUUUUGGUUAUUUUGUAAAGUGUUCAUUCUUUCUAUUUAAAGUCAAGAUGAAUACAUUCUCCGCUGCACGUUGGUUCCAUCCUUUCAACGGCUGUUACAGAACUACCCACCAAACCAGGACCAAGCAGCGGGGAUUGGAGCACCGAAAAAAAGGAUGGACGUGGGAGGAUGAACGACGAUUCUGGGAGGACAAACUAAGGGAGCUAGAUGAGACCGAGAGGCAUCCCCAAAACAUUUUUUGGGGGGGGCACACGGGGAGUUGGGCAGAGUCAGGAUGGAGACCUGAGCCAACUCCCCGUGCUUAUUACGGGGAGCGACGGAUCAAGAAAGCACCGAGCAAUACGAAAAUGCUCACUGUAUUGCCCAGACGCAUUCAAAGGCCGAUGCGAUUGGUAAAAGCUCCUCAGUAUGGCCAGGCGAUGUUGAGCACUCAGCCAAGAAGGGUUGUGCAGGCUGUAUGCUCCAGACCUCUAGUGCGUCUGCCCAGUCCAGUAUGUCCUGUUCCUGCUCCUCGCACUAGCCUUGAGGUGCGUGUCACUAGUCUGGCGCCUCCAAAGCCAGCCCCACGCAUCAGGCCUCUAGUGCGCCAGCCCAGUCCAGUACAUCCUGUUCCUGCUCCCCGCACUCACCCUCCAGUGCGCCUCCAUAACCCGGUACAGCCAGUGCCUGCUGUGAGCACUCUGCAAUUAGUACGCCCUGUUCCUGUUCCCCGCACUCACCCUCCAGUGCGCCUCCAUUACCCGGUACAGCCAGUGCCUGCAGGGAGCACUUGGUCUCCAGAGUCGCCCGCCUGUCCGGCGCUGCCAGAGUCGCCCGCCUGUCCGGCGCUGCCAGAGUCGCCCGCCUGUCCGGCGCUGCCAGAGUCGCCCGCCUGUCCGGCGCUGCCAGAGUCGCCCGCCUGUCCGGCGCUGCCAGAGUCGCCCGCCUGUCCGGGGCCCGCGGUGAGGG